rnacentral:rRNA from 1 species
AACGUAGGAGACAAACGUUAUCCGGAAUUAUUGGGCGUAAAGAGCUCGUAGGCGGUUUGUCGCGUCUAUCGUGAAAGUCCGAGGCUCAACCUCGGAUCUGCGGUGGGUACGGGCAGACUAGAGUGAUGUAGGGGAGACUGGAAUUCCUGGGUGUAGCGGUGGAAUGCGCAGAUAUCAGGAGGAACACCGAUGGCGAAGGCAGAAUCUCC